rnacentral:tRNA from 1 species
GGUAGCGUGGCCGAGCGGUCUAAGGUCUGGUUUCCGGCACCAGUCUCUUCGGGAGCGUGGGUUCGAAUCCCACCGCUGCCA